GAUGAAGAACGUAGCGAAAUGCGAUAAGUAAUGUGAAUUGCAGAAUUCAGUGAAUCAUCGAAUCUUUGAACGCACAUUGCGCCCGCCAGUAUUCUGGCGGGCAUGCCUGUUCGAGCAUCAUUUCAACCCUCAAGCCCCCGGGCUUGGUGUUGGGGAUCGGCGUGCCCUCGCGGCGCGCCGUCCCCUAAAUCUAGUGGCGGUCUCGCUGUAGCUUCCUCUGCGUAGUAGCAACACUCGCACUGGAUCGCAGCGCGGCCACGCCGUUAAACCCCCCACUUCUGAAAGUUUGACCUCGGAUCAGGUAGGAAUACCCGCUGAACUUAAGCAUAUCAAUAAGCGGAGGA
rnacentral:misc_RNA from 1 species